rnacentral:rRNA from 1 species
AGUCGAACGGCAGCACAGGAGAGCUUGCUCUCUGGGUGGCGAGUGGCGGAGGGAGAGGAAUACAUCGGAAUCUACUCUGUCGUGGGGGAUAACGUAGGGAAACUUACGCUAAUACCGCAUACGACCUACGGGUGAAAGUGGGGGACCGCAAGGCCUCACGCGAUUGAAUGAGCCGAUGUCGGAUUAGCUAGUUGGCGGGGUAAAGGCCCACCAAGGCGACGAUCCGUAGCUGGUCUGAGAGGAUGAUCAGCCACACUGGAACUGAGACACGGUCCAGACUCCUACGGGAGGCAGCAGUGGGGAAUAUUGGACAAUGGGCGCAAGCCUGAUCCAGCCAUACCGCGUGGGUGAAGAAGGCCUUCGGGUUGUAAAGCCCUUUUGUUGGGAAAGAAAUCCUGUUGAUUAAUACUCGACAGGGAUGACGGUACCCAAAGAAUAAGCACCGGCUAACUUCGUGCCAGCAGCCGCGGUAAUACGAAGGGUGCAAGCGUUACUCGGAAUUACUGGGCGUAAAGCGUGCGUAGGUGGUGGUUUAAGUCUGUUGUGAAAGCCCUGGGCUCAACCUGGGAAUUGCAGUGGAUACUGGAUCACUAGAGUGUGGUAGAGGGAUGCGGAAUUUCCGGUGUAGCAGUGAAAUGCGUAGAGAUCGGAAGGAACAUCUGUGGCGAAGGCGGCAUCCUGGGCCAACACUGACACUGAGGCACGAAAGCGUGGGGAGCAAACAGG